GCAGAGGCGUCUGACUCUGCUGUGUACUACUGCGCCCUGGUGCCCACAGUGACAGGAACUCAGACUCUGCUGUACAAAAACCUCUCAGAUGUGCAGGAGGAGGGAGAUUCAACAUGUCCCCUUCACAGACAGAGAAUCUGUUGGGAAUACUAUAACACCCUCGCAUUCUUCACUGAUCGUCAUCGAGGAAGAAGCUGUUACUUUCUCCUGUAACUACAGUGGUAGUGUCACUAACUUGCAAUGGUAUCGGCAGUAUCCCAACUCCAUCCCAGAGUUCCUCUACUACAUAUAUGUGGCUGGUACCACUUCAGACCCAGUUCCCCGCCUGACUCCCUCCAUAAAGACAGAGGAAAAGCGUGUGUUUCUGGAGCUCUCCUCUGCAGAGGCGUCUGACUCUGCUGUGUACUACUGCGCCCUGAGGCCCACAGUGACAGGAACUCUGACUCUGCUGUACAAAAUCCUCUCAGAUGUGCAGGAGGAGGGAGAUUCAACAUGUCCCCUUCACAGACAGUACAUUCAUUUAUACACUCUGACUAUUAAUCCAGUCUGCUGAU